CCUACGGGGAGGCAGCAGUAGGGAAUUUUGCUCAAUGGCGGAAACCCUGAAGCAGCAACGCCGCGUGGAGGAUGAAGGUUUUCGGAUUGUAAACUCCUUUUGUUAGAGAAGAUAAUGACGGUAUCUAACGAUUAAGCACCGGCUAACUCCGUGCCAGCCGCCGCGGUAAUACGGAGGGUGCAAGCGUUACCCGGAAUCACUGGGCGUAAAGAGCGCGUAGGCGGGAUAGCAAGUCAGAUGUGAAAUCCUAUGGCUUAACCAUAGAACUGCAUUUGAAACUGUUAUUCUAGAGUAUGGGAGAGGUAGGUGGAAUUCGUGGUGUAGGGGUAAAAUCCGUAGAUAUCAAGAGGAAUACUCAUUGCGAAGGCGGCCUGCUAGAACACAACUGACGCUGAUGCGCGAAAGCGUGGGGAGCAAACAGGAUUAGAUACCCGGGUAGUC
rnacentral:rRNA from 1 species